UGGCUUUGCAAAGUUUGUGAAAUUGUGGUCAUUGGCGUAUCAAAACAGCCCUAGUAGGCCCAUUGCAAGACCUGGAACUGACUUGACAAUGUGGGCCUAGCUUAAAACAGUAGCCAACAAAAGCACUCCCCUAAAGCACAAACAUAGGAAGGCUGAAAAUACUUUAGCAACUAGGCUCUCGUGUCACGCAGCGUUUCUCGCUCAGGUAAGUAUCUCUUCUCUCGCUCUGGACACUCCAAGACCACCAGCUUCGUUCCCCCACCAUAAACAACCAGGCUACACCGGGUUCAUGGAGUCCGCAACUUAAAUGACCCAUGGAGUUCGCAACUUAAAUGAUCCAAAAAGUAUCCAAAGGUACCAAAAUACCCCAGAAAAACAAAAAGUGACCGAAGUACCCUUUGCGCGUUGUUUUUGGCAUUAUGAAGUACCCGAAGAUAUGGGAGGUUGCAAACAUUUUCAUUGGGAAGAUAGCAUUCCCAUGGAUAAAACGGUGGCGGCGAAGAUUAAAAAGCCUCCUGUUGAUAGAGAUACCGCAACUUCACGUAUCUGAAGAGAUACCGUGAAGUUUGACUUGCAAUUUAAGCUUAUGGAAGCUAAAAAAGAGAUUGACAUUUUGGAGGUCUUGCUAAAAGAAUCCAAAGAAAAAUAAAGUUUUCUCAAGACUAACCCUAGAGAAACUCAACACGAGAAAAAUGGUUUGAAAGAAAAACUGAAAUUUUGGAAAAUUAUUUGUGCUAUGUUAUUGUUGUUUAUUGUUUCUAUGUAUUUUGUUUAUUAAAUUUAAUAUUUCUAUGUAUUUUGUUUUUCUA